CGAACUGCCAGCCUGCGCCUUUGCAGCCGGCCCUCGCUUUGCUGAAGACGAGCAGCUCCCACCAAAGUCUUGCCUCCCCUUACCCCGAAAGCCCCGCUCAGGUCAAAGAGCCUAAAAGAAAAGCCCGGAGCCAUACACUCACCUGGUUGAAGCCAUAAAGAGUUCAAUAUUUCAAGUGAAAAUUUGCCUGUUCAAAAAGAAAAUAUUCACAAAUGAGCAGUGUAUUAGAAGACAACUGAAUUGCUUCUAAGAAUGGGUCUCACUCUGCCAUCACCCAGGCUGGAGUGUGGUGGCACCAUCAUGGCUCACUGCAGCCUUGAACUCCUGAGCUCAAGUCAUCCUCCCACCUCAGCCUUCCGAGUAGCUGGAACUGCAGGUGUGAGCCACCAUGCCUGGCUGAUUUGUCUUUUUAAAUUUUUUUAUAGAGACCGGGUCUCAACUAUAUUGUCCAGGCUGGAAAAGAACUUCUUUCCCUCCAAGUGAUAACCUUUUCCAGACAAGUCAGCUUAAAAACUGACCCAAAG
rnacentral:lncRNA from 1 species